GGGGUCACACCUGUUGCAUAUGGUAGUUUCCAGGCUAGGUAUUGAAUUGGAGCUGCAGCUGGCUGCCUAAGCCACAUCCACAGCAAUGUGGGAUCCUACAGAUUCCUCUGUGGUGAUGAAUUUGUUCCGUAUCUUGACUGUGAUUGCAAUUAUAUGAAUCUAAAUAUGUGCUUAAAUGUCAUAGAAAAACACCUAAAGACAUAAAAGACUGUGUGCAGAAACUGGGGAAAUCCAAGGAACUUCUGUAGCCUAGUUAAUUGUAGUGUGACAAUGUCCAUUUUCUGGGUCUGGUAAUGUGUUAUAUUUAUUUAAGAUGUUAUCAUUAGGAAAAGCUGGGUAAUGUGUACACAGCUACUUUCUGUUCUAUUUUUUUAACUCCUUGUGUGUUUAUGAUUAUUUCACAAUAAAAAAUCUUCAAAAAAUAAAAUCCUUUAGAAAUUUGGUGUGUCUUUUAAAAAAAGUAAGGAAAAAUAAUUAAAGAAAGAAGAGAGAAAAAGGAAGACUCUAGCUAAUUCCUAUGAGGAAAUUUUCCUUUUUUUUAUACCAGAAACAGAAAAGAAAAUAUAAGAUGCUAUAUUAACAAGUUAUGAUAUUAAUUUUUUUAAAAGGCUUAAGAAAAUGUAAAUGAAUUUUCUCUGUGCUAGUAAAUGAUAACAUUAAAAUUACUUAUUUCACUUUUGUUUUAGUCUUCGGUUUCUGUAUUAGUUCUGUAAUUCUGCCAAUAUUUAGUCACUACCAUUAAGUUAUGACUGAAUUGCAAUACAAUUAAAUAUGUUAUUUAAAUUCACCUUUUAUAAGAUGUUAUAAAGUAAUGUGGUGCUAUGACACAUAUCUAAAAAAACUGUACUUCCUCUUAAAAUAGAACUGAGUUUGCUCCUAAGAUGUUUAACUGAAGUGAUUAAAUGGACUUAAUUAUAACAUACUGAUUUUUAAAUGGUCUAGCCACAUUUGUGUUGUUACUUUUUUUUUACAAGAUUAUACCAUAGGGAUAUAUCACUGACAAAACAUUUCAAAAGCAGUAUAUGAAAAUUUUCAACAUCAGGGUAAAUUUUAAGUCCCAAUAAUAAAAUAAUAUUGGUAAAUUCAGUUAACAAAAGUCAUUAAGAAUCACUUUUCAAAGUUUAUACUAAUAUAGUUUCUGUUAUCAACGUAUAGUAGACAAAUAACUUUCAGAAUUGUAUAGGUCAUUAAAAGGAAAAUUGAAAUAAGGCACUUUCAUCAUUAAAUUUUGCUCAUACAAGAUAGAUGUUACUUCUAGUUACAAGAACAAUUAGGUUUAUAUUCUUGACAAUUUACAGUAGUCAAAAGCUUAGAGAUAUUCCUCUGCAUGGAUCAUAGAAGUUGUGAUGACUUUAUCGUUAAACCUAUUAUUGCCUAUGCAAUAAUAUUUAACAUUUAAAAGAAAAAUAAAUUAGUUAAUUCUCCACUUUUGAAUGGCCUGUGUGUUCUCAUUAUUCAAUGGCAAUUAGUAUGCAUAACUUUAAGCCAGCAAUUGUUACUUUCCUUUUCUCUCUAGGUCUCCUAAAUAAUUUUAUUCCUUUUUAAAAGAACAAUUUCUUAAAGACUAUCCAUAAGAAAAAAUCUAGAACUCAACAUAGUAAAGAGCUCCACUCAUAUGAGAUUUUGCAGUUUCUGAAAUAAUAAAUACUCAUGUAGAAAGCUUUAAUUUUAAUUAAAAAUGUCUAUGGCUGCUUCGCAAGAAAUGAUAGGCCUUAAGUUUCUUGUGAGGAGAGUAGGCAGUAGCUAUAAGCUUUUCUGGGAAAUCAAAACUUUUGGGUCAAGCUACACAGGUUGACAUGGGAGGAUGAUACUAGUACAGGAGAAGAGAGAUGGAGACAAAAGAUACAGCAGUUGUUGGCCAGAUGUUCUUGAGUCAUUCUUUCUUUCCAUAGUAACAUACUGAGAGAUGACUAUAUCCUUAGAGCUUCUAGACACAGAGGAUAUACAGAUGAAAAAAAAAUUGACAAGAUGUCUGCUUUGAUUGUGCUUACACCGUAAAUGGAGACAAACAAAAUCAAGGAGGCAGAAAAUAACUGCCAUGGAAGGCAGAGACAAAGAGCUGAGUUAUAAAAUAAUCUUAUUGCAUUGUGCAGGUGGAGGAGGCAGCCCUAGACUAUGUGGUCAGACCUCUUCUUGGAGCUCUGAGGCAGUAUAGAUGAGAGAAAGUGCAGAAGAGAAUGUCUACUCUAGAGAGACACUCUGUAGACUGUGUUAAAUCUUUCCACAUCAAGGAGGAUUUGCUGACUCUCCUCUUGUAUGAAUAUUGUCAGAAGAUUACAUAAGAAAUAGUCCAUCCUACCUUAUCUACCUUCAUUGCCCUUCUAUCCUCUGAGAAAAAGAGAGAUUUUGACAAAAAGCUUUAAAACUUGGUUCUUUUACUUGCACUUGCUGAAUUCCCUUGGGUUUCCUUGGAUGUUAUCUAUACUAUCCACUUCACAGAAAUGUUGGGAAGAUUAAACAAAAUCAUAGUUAAGAACAUGCACUGAAUAUUGCAUUUUAUUCAUUAAUGAAAAAUAUUCUAGUAAAAAGAAAAUAUAAUCUAUUCCAUGAUGAUACGGAACCAUCCCUAUCCUUCUUUGCAAAAGGAAGGAGAAAUAAUCAUGUAGUCUUUUGAUUCAGGUAUGUACAGUUCUAAAUUUCAGAUGUUUCACUUCUUGCUGUGUGAUCUUAGGAAAAUAUCUUAAUUACUGAGCCCCAGUGUCCUCAUACACACAUCAGGUUUAAAGCGUGGUGAAUCAUUGUUGAAAUAAUACUGUGCAUAUUAAUCAUUGAUAGACUAAAUCACAGUAGCAAUAGAUUAUUAAAUGAUAAUGCCAAGUGAUUAAAAUGAAAAUAUA
rnacentral:lncRNA from 1 species